AGGUACUGUCAUGAGCUUUUCCAUGCACUCAAGUCCUGAGGCAAAACCCACUGAAGACUUUCUGACAUCAAUGGGCUUUGGAUCUAAUCCAUAGACAGCUAGUUUCUUUUGGAAAACGUUGAGUGAAAUAGACUUUAUGUUCAGGACUGCACAGUGCCCCAGUCUGUCAUGGAAGGAGUGGUAACGGUUGUUAUUUUACUACACAAAGGUUAUGGGAGGCAUCUGACCUUUUGGUAGGAAAGGUCUGCAACUGAUCAGUGAUUAUAUCCUCUUCAGGAGCUUGAUCACAGUUCCCACCAUCACUUCCAUAAUCUUCGAGUUCUUGCUACCAUUAGGUCUCACAGGGCAAUGGAAAUGGAGCAUUUUCUUGUGUCUGGAAGCAUUCUUGCUUUUUUUUAAGACUAAAUAUUUUUCAUUUUAAUUGAAAGAAUAGGUAGCUAGAGUCCAUGAAAGACGGGUAACUUAGAGACAGGAGGCCUGAGGAAUCUGGUUGCAAAGUGGACCUAACAGAAAGGCUGUGCUUUGCAUGCUAGGGUUCUGAAAAACUCAAUUCUGUAUCCCUCACCAAUCCUUCCUCCACUGUUCAAGCUUAAUUAUUCUUUUUGGAUGUCUUGGGGGGAGGAAAAAAAGUUGUAAAACAUUUACUGAAAGUAGAACAGAAUGUUUUUUGCUCUCGAGUGAAGAAUUACUAUCAGCAAAAGACUCUUAUCACAGAAUCAGUGUUAAGACCUUAGAAAGCCAGUCAGUAGCAGAGUUAAAAAAUUACUGCUUAAAGCAGGUACUCUUCUUUAAGAAAGCACUCUCAUCUACAAGUGCCUCUCAGGUAGAGAAGGCUUAGCCAUUAUCUCCAAUUAAUAUUCACUUGUGGGGUGAACAUAUUAGUUGUUCAUUUUUGACAUAGAAAAUAAUUUGAUUUGUAUUUAAUAUUAUUAUUUUUUGUCAAACAUGUCACAACAAUUCUUGGAGCUUAGCAUUGAGAACUGCAUUGUGAAAGUUAAAGAUUGCCAUUCUGUGCAUCUUUGAGUAACAAAUUCUUACUACAAAAACUCUUUGAAAAGUCUCAUAGGGGAAAGUUGCCAUGGAGACAAAAAAAAAAAAUGUUCAUUUUUAUUCAUGAGUAAUUGUAAAGGAGGGAUAGGCCUAAUUAAAGCUGUUUCAGCCCUAUUUAUCCACAAAUAUCUAUAUAAAAAGAUCUUGCCUCAAGUGAAGUCCAUUUCUCAAAAGCAUGCUGGUUUUCCCAUGCACUCGAGAGAAGUAUUCUGUAGUUUUCCAUGGCAGUAGCGAAUACUAAAUAUUCUAAAUUAAUGAGUUUAUCCUUGCUGCAUAUUUGAGGUGAGGAGGGGAAAUCACUGUUGCCCCUGUAACUUGUGGCCUUCAGGCUGGCAGUGUUGCUGAAAAUACUAUAGAGAAUAUGUACCACACAGGAGAUUCUAAAAUAGAUCAUACAAAUUAAAAGAAUGAGACAAAACUAAUUCUGCUUCCUUUUGUUUGUCAAGUGUACAUAAAUAUCAGCCUAGGAUUGAUGUGACCUGUGUUUCAAAUUACUGAAAUAAUUUAUGCUUCAGUUUUCUGGAUUUACCUAGAGCUUGCUUAAAGCUCUGCUGUUUCUGCCUGUGUAAACAGAUGUUAGUUCCAGGCUUUUUCUUUAUCCAGUCUGUUUUUAACCUCUAAUCUCAUUGCCCUCUUCAAUCCAGUGUCACGGUAUAAAUAUGUCAGUUCAUUUUACAUUGAAUAAAUAAUCUGAGUAAAUUUUAUCCCUGUGUUUUAGGUACUAUAUUGUACUAUUAGACAUAUCAUUAAAGAUACAUAUUAUCCUUCUGCUGCCCGAUGUUUGCGUUAUUUUUUUCCCUUAGCUUCCUAUUUAAUUGUCAUGUGGGCAGUGGCAUUAUGUAUCUGACCUUAUUCUACCAUGUUGAUUUGUAUUCAGCUAUAUUUUAUUUUUCAAAUAAUCCUACAGCUCAGCUACAGCUGAGUCUGAGUAAUAGUACGGUCUAGUUCUCAUACUCUCCUCUCCCAUUAUUUUGUCAAAAUGUGCUCCUGUUUUUCAUUUAUGGAUUAGUUUCUUCUGCGUAUGUUGUGGUUCACAGUGGGGCUCCAGUGGGUUAUGAGUCUGGUUUAAGACAUGAAAUUAUAUUGGGGCUUAAUAGAUUGCAUUAAAUUAUUAUUGCUAUCCAGAUAAUACGGCAAUUUUUCCUGCAGUGUCACUUGA